rnacentral:rRNA from 1 species
AACCUCCGCAAUGUGAGAAAUCGCGACGGGGGGAUCCCAAGUGCCAUUCUUAACGGGAUGGCUUUUCUUAAGUGUAAAAAGCUUUUGGAAUAAGAGCUGGGCAAGACCGGUGCCAGCCGCCGCGGUAACACCGGCAGCUCUAGUGGUAGCUGUUUUUAUUGGGCCUAAAGCGUUCGUAGCCGGUUUGAUAAGUCACUGGUGAAAUCCUGUAGCUUAACUGUGGGAAUUGCUGGAGAUACUAUUAGACUUGAGACCGGGAGAGGUUAGAGGUACUCCCAGGGUAGAGGUGAAAUUCUGUAAUCCUGGGAGGACCGCCUGUUGCGAAGGCGUCUAACUGGAACGGUUCUGACGGUGAGGGACGAAAGUUAGGGGCGCGAACCGGAUUAGAUACCCGGGUAGUCCUAACUGUAAACGAUGCGGACUUGGUGUUGGGGUGGCUUUGAGCUGCUCCAGUGCCGGAAGGGAGCUGUUAAGUCCGCCGCCUGGGAAGUACGGUCGCAAGACUGAAACUUAAAGGAAUU